rnacentral:rRNA from 1 species
GACGAACGCUGGCGGCGUGCUUAACACAUGCAAGUCGAGCGGUAAGGCCCUUUCGGGGGUACACGAGCGGCGAACGGGUGAGUAACACGUGGGUGACCUGCCCUCAGCUCUGGGAUAAGCCUGGGAAACCGGGUCUAAUACCGGAUAUGACUCCAUGACGCAUGUUGUGGGGUGAAAGCCUUGUGCGGCUGAGGAUGGGCCCGCGGCCUAUCAGCUUGUUGGUGGGGUGAUGGCCUACCAAGGCGACGACGGGUAGCCGGCCUGAGAGGCGACCGGCCACACUGGGACUGAGACACGGCCCAGACUCCUACGGGAGGCAGCAGUGGGAAUCUUGCGCAAUGGGCGAAAGCCUGACGCAGCGACGCCGCGUGAGGGAUGACGGCCU